UGCUUGAGUAAUAAGAAAGUAACACGGAGACGUCUUUAACCACCAGAACAGUGUUCCCAGUUCUGCCUGAGACGUGAUGAAGGCAACACUAGUCCUUCUGUUCUCUGCUUCUUAUGUGGCAGCAGCCCAUUACUCUUGUUGGCCUUCAUUCGAUGAGGAAGACUUCCGUGAGGAAGAGUAUGAAGAGGAAGACUGUGAUGAGGGCGACUGAUAGAGAUUCUGAAGGCUGAAUACAAAAAUGAUGCCUGGAUCUUUUCAGGGAUGGAGC